GGGUGUUUGAGUCCCCUGGGACUGGAGUUAGACAAUUGUGAGCCAUGUUGUGGAUGAAGCCCUGGUCCUCUGGAAGAGCAACCGGUACUCUUAACCCCAGAGCUAUGGCUCCAGCCUCCAUUUCUUGAACCUUCAAUCUUUCCAGUAGAACCCAGGGUAUGGAAGAACAGCAACUUCUGAGUGUUGUCUCCGAGCCCCUGGGUUCUCAGUACACAAAACAGCCUGUAACGGUAGCUUCAGGGGAUAUGUUACUCUACACACACAAACAAAAUACAAACAUCUUUUUUUAAAACUCAACUUUUGAGUUUGAAACAUCAUUAGUGCUGUUUUGGGGUUUUUGAGGGCUGUGUUAUUGUUGGGUUACCCAUUUCACAGACUGCUGAUCUAAUCACUACUAUUUUUUUCUAAACUCCUUUUUUCCCCUCUUGGCUGGUGUCAUUUAUAGACAGUCCGAUGUAACCCAGGCUAGUCUUGAACUGCUGCUGAUCCUCCUAGCCCUACCUCUUUAGUGCUUGGAUGAAGGCUUCGCCUACAGUACCGGGAGUGGCAUGUUCUACUAUUGUUGAGCAUCCUAGGCCUGCUUUACUGAAAUUGUUGAUCCUUAGAGGACCUCAGGACCUGUUCUCAUGUGUCUUUGGGUGCGCCUGGGCACCCCUCCAGCUGAAGCAAAGAUCACUCGUGGGCUAUUGUGUAGCGAGUUAUGCUAACACUAGAGACCCUGUGACUAGGAGGAAAGGCAAGGAAUGCAAGAAGCAAGCGCAAGUCCUUAAAUGCACCUUCCCUGUCUUUUCGAAUUGGGCUUCCUUCCUAAGGGAGCUGCUUCUAGCAUUCAGACCUCGCUAGCCAAUCAGAGUAUUAAGCGGGCUGUCCAAUCAGGAUAUCUGGCAGGCGGCGGGGAGGCGGGUCUUCUCUGGUUGCAGUGUUGUGUGUAGGUUCUCCGUGGCGGACACGGGUACGAGUGGGCCCCGCUUUCGGCGCUGGUACCAGGAGCUCUGAGAGGAACGUGGGCGAGCUCGGAAGCUGCGCCAUGGUGAGCGAGGGGCCUCUGCCCCCAGAGCGGGAGGGGCGGCGACUGAGCCCCGGGAGCCGGUGUGCCGGGCGCUCUUCGGGACUGGGGCGGGGCCGACAUGCUGCGAAGCAACCUAGGCCCUGGACCGGCGGCCUCUGGGCAGCUCCGCCUCUCGGCCGCUUCUGCGCAGAGCAAGGAGUAGCGAAAGGCUCCGCCCUGCGCUGGGGACGCCCGGGUUGGUGACGUCGCAGCUGUGCGAGCGCUCAGAGCCUAUGUUCUUUUUUGUCCCGAGGGCCAGUUGCUAGCUAAGUGAGGGUAGUCUAUAGUUUCUUCGAGUUAUAGAAGUUCUGACGUUUACGUUUCCUGUCUAGGCUUAGAAUGUACUUUAAAUUACUUUUGCGAAAGUUGUAAAGUCUACCCAAUAUUUGGUCUAUAUCUGCGUGUUUGUUUUACUAGUUUGUUAAGUCACUUACUGUAUUUUGGGUUUGCUUCUGACUGUUUAAAUUGUUAUUUCUUAGUUUUGAAAUACUGUACUACUUUGAUUAUUGCAGUUUUAUCGGGAGUCUUAAAGUCAGGCAGUGUUCUGUUAAUGCUUCAGUAUCGUGUUAACUUUUUUCUUUUUCUUUUUUUGAGACAGGAUCUCGGGUUUCCCAAGUUGGCCUCAAACUUUCUCUUAGCUGAGGAGGACCUUGAACUUCUGAUCCCGCUACCCAAACCCACCUCCAGAGUGCUGGGAUUAAGGGAGUUUUUGGCCUUUGAGGAUGUGGCUGUGGAGUUCAGCCAGGAAGAAUGGGUUUUGCUGGAUCCUUCUCAGAAGAAACUAUACAGAGAUGUGAUGCUGGAAACCUGCAAUAACCUUUCUUCAAUAGGGCAUCAAAUGGGAAGACAAGAACAUUGACGAGCAGUACAAACACUCUUGGAGAUUCCUAAGAAGUUGCAUGAUAGAUGCAAUUUAUGAGCACAGAGAAGGUGGUCAGUUUCAAGAAACCUUUACCUGGAUACCAGAUUUCCAUAGGAGUACUGACAUUUCUACUGAAGUAAAACCAUUUGAAUGUGGUGUGUGUGGAAAAGUUUUCACGUGUCAUUCAUCCUUUAAUGAGCACAUCAUGUCUCACUUAGGGGACAAACCAUCUGAACACAAACAUGGUUCAUGUGGAAUACAGCAACAAAGUCAGAGUGUUGAAAAAUCCUAUAAACAGUGUGGAAUGGCCUUCGCUUGCCACUGUUCGCUUUCUAUAGAUGGAAGAACCAACAGUAAAGAUAAAUGUUACAAAUGUGAACAAUCCAGUAAAGCUCUGAGUUCUUCCAGUUCCCUCCAGAGUCAUAAAACAGUUUAUGGUGCAGGAAGAACCUAUGAGUGUGAAGAGUGUGGAAAAUCCUUUAGACAUGAGAGUUCCUUUUUAUUACACCAAUUAACUCACAUUGGAAGGAAAUCCUAUGAAUGUAAACAAUGCGGGAAGGCCUUCAGGUGUCACAGUUAUCUUCAGUUACAUGAAAACUUUCAUAUUGAAGAAAACCCCUACGAAUGUAAACAGUGUGGAAAAACCCUCUGUUCUCCCAGUUCCCUUCGAGUUCAUGAAAGGAUUCACAAUGGAGAAAAACUUUAUGCAUGCAAGCGGUGUGAUAAAACUUUCAAAUGUCAAAGUUACCUUCGAAUACAUGAAAGAACUCACACAGGAGAAAGGUGCUAUGAUUGUGAACAAUGUGGUAAAGCUUUCAGAAGUCACUGUUCCCUUCAGAGACAUAAAAUAGCUCAUCCUAGGAAAAAAGCCUACGCGUGUAAACAAUGCGGUAAGUCCUUCGCUUAUCCAUAUUUACUUCAAACACAUGAGAGAUUUCACACAAGAGAAAAAACGUAUAAAUGUCGGAUCUGUAGUAAAGCCUUUCUUUGUUCCCCCUUUCUUCAGAGACACAAAAGAACGCACACUUGGGGGAAACCGUAUAAAUGUAAACAGUGUGGUAGAGCCUUCAGAAGCCACAGUUCCCUUCGACUGCAUGCAAGGGGUCACACAGUAGAAGAAUCUUACACAUGUAGGGUCUGUAGUAAAGCCUUUCUAUGUCCUCCUUUCCUUCAGAGGCAUGAAAAAACUCACGCUGAGGAAAAGCCCUUUGAAUGUAAGCAAUGUAGUAAAAUCUUCAGAGAUUGGAGUACCUUCCAAGUGCAUGAAAGAUCUCACACUCUAGAAAAGCCCUAUGCAUGUAAGCUAUGUAGUAAAGCCUUUUUUUAUUCCUCUUCCCUGGAAAGACAUAAAAAGAUUCACACUAGAAAGAAAUGCUAUCCAUGUAAAUCCGCAUGCGAACAGUGUGGCCAGUCCUUUAUUUUUCCCUGUUUACUUGAGAAGCAUUUAAGAACUCACACUGAUGAAAAACCCUAUGAAUGUAAACAGUGUGGUAAAACAUUUAGGAGUCUCACUUAUGCUCGCAUACAUAAAAGAACUCACACCGAAGAAAGACAGUAUGUAUGUAAACACUGUGGUAAAAGUCUCAGUUGUCCUAGUACUCUUCAGUUACACGAACUAACUCAUACUGGAGAAAAACUCUAUGCAUGUCAACAAUUUGAUAAAACUGUCAGAAGAUUCAGUUAUUUUCAAAUACCUGAAAGGGCUCGUACUGAAGAAAAAGCUUACAAAUGUAAGCAAUGUGGUGCAAUAUUCAGUUGUUCAAAUACCCUUCAGCUACAUGAAAGAAUCCAUACAGGAGAGAAAUCCCAUGAAUGUAAACAAUGUGGUAAAGCCUUCACAGUCCUCAGCAAUCUUCAAGUACAUGAACUAUCUCACACUCAUGAAAAAUCCUAUGGAUGCAAGCAACAUGGUAAUGUUUUCAGUCUUAGUAAUCUUAUACAGGAAAGAAAGAAAGCUGAAGCAAAUCUCUGUGAAUGUAAACAGUGUGGUAAAUCUUUUGUGUCUCGAUAUUUACUUCAAAUGCAUGAAAGGUCUCAUUCUGCAGAGAAACGCUACGAAUGUAAGGUAUGUGGUAAAAGCUUCAUUUAUCCCUCAUUUCUUCAAAGACACGAAAGAACGCAUACUGGAGAGAAACCUUAUGAGUGCAAACAAUGUGGUAAGGCCUUCAGAGUUCAGAGCUCCCUUCGAUUACAUGAAAGAACUCAUUCUGAGGAAAAACCUUAUGAAUGUAAAGACUGUGGUAAAGCCUUCUGGCGGCUCCCUUCUCUUCAAGUACAUGAAAGAAUCCAUACAGGAGAAAAGCCCUUUGAGUGUAAACAAUGUGAUAAAACCUUCAGGUGUCACAGUUCCCUUCAAAGACAUGAAAGAACUCAUAGUCACGAAAAACCAUAUGAAUGUACACAGUGUGGUAAGGGCUUUAGAUGUCACCGGUCCCUUCAAAGACAUGGAAAAACUCACGCUGAAGAAAAAGCCCAGGAAUCUGGACAGUGAGCAAAAAUUUUUAGGCUUUCCAGUUUCUUUUUUAUGUUUGAAAGUAACUCCUGGGAAGAAGUUCUGGUGCUAUAAAACAAGUGGUGGUGGUGGUUUUAAUCGUAGACUUACUGAAGAAAGACCUAUCAGUAAUAAUCAGUGACUUAAGAUGUUCAGUUCCAAGCCUGAUAUGGUGGUGAAUGCCUUUAAUCCUAGCACUGGGGAGGCAAAAGUAGGCAGAUCUCUUGUUCAAGGUCAGCCUCCUCUGCAAAUCAAGGUACAGGACAACCAGGGCUGCACAGAGAAACCCUGUCUCAAAAAACAAAAGAUGUUCAUUUCCGUUUGAAGCCUUGAACAUCUCUGGUGGAAUACCUUUGGAAUGUAUAUAAUAUGAGGAUAACUAAUUUUCCAUAUAUCCUCUUGAAUACUCACAUGAUAAUGCAAAUAGAGGUAGCUCUUAUAAGAAUAAGUGUCAGACUGAAAAUAGUUUGGAAAGUAAAGUUUGUAAAACUUACCUACACUGAAAGUCAUGAAGAAGACGAUUGGAAGUAAACCAUGUGUAUUUUGCAAUCCUCAUGCAAAUUCACCUGUAAUGCUCAGAUUUUUAUGAGUGUAUUCUUGUAAGGUUAGGGAUAUGUUGUGUUUGAUUUGCAAUUACUGGUGACCAUAGAAGGGGUGGUGGUGCAGCCCUCUAGUGCUAGCUACUCAGAUAGCUGGUGGAAGAGAAUUUGAAGCUCAGGACCUGACCAAGCAAUGAAAGCCCCAUUUUGCAAUCAAAAGUUGAAGAGUACGGGGUAUGUUGCUAAGUAGGUAGAAUACUUAGCUGGCAAGCAUGAGACUGUAAAUUCAAUCCCCAGUACUCUUACUAAAAGAAUAAAAAUCCCAAGAGAAUGAGUUGCCAUUUCUUUCAGAGAUGCAUACAUUAGAAUGAAAGUUGUUAAGUAUUCAACAAUAGAGAUAGUAUGUGAUAGAUAUGUUGCUGGACAAUUUUAUAACUGAAGAUCAUUGUGUCUUCUGUUACUUUUCCUGGUGCUGUGAUAAAAUGUUCCAACAAAAACAAGUUAGGAAGGGUUUCCUUUGUCACAGUUUGACAUGGCACAGAAGUUAGAGCAGGAGUAACAUGUGACAGCUUGCCACAUUGCACCUGGAGUCAAGAAACAGUGAUGAGUGGCCAUGAUUGCCUACCUUUCUCUCUGUUAUACGGUCUGGAACCCAAACCUAGGGAAUAAUGCCACCACCUUCACAAUGGGUCUUCCUGUCUCAGUUUAAAUCCCUUACAGGCAAACCCUGAGGCUCAUCUUCCAGGGGAUUCUAGAUCUAAAGAUGAUAUCAACUAACACAAAUAUAUUACAUACUGCCCCAAACACGGGCAGUAUGUUGAUUUAAUGCUUAUUCUAGGCAAGGAUAACUACUUAUUUAGGAAACUGAAAAUAUUUGAUGUGAAUAUAUGAAAGCAUAAUGGCAUAAAGAUAAGUGCUACACACUUAAUGAAGGCCCCAUAUUUUAAGUGGAGUCUUCUGGACUAGCUGUUCCUCUUGUCAGUGAGUUAUUUAGUCAAUGUCAAGAACAUUGCUGUAUACUAAGAUAUUACUAGUAACUUUAUAAACACUUUAGACUUAGAUUUUAUUGUCUGUAAAUUUUCUUUAGUAGAUUAGUUCAAAACUUUUUCACUUUGCAAAAUUAAAAAUAUUUGAUACUUUUCUAGACACUCAUUAUUGUGCAAGUAAGAAUUUAGUAUACCUUGGACUAUACUGUGUUAGAAAGCUUGAUUUGUAAAAUUUUCUAACUUACCAAAAUGUAUUUUAGAAAGUUUUUUUAAGUGAAUUUUAGUUUAGGAUUAUUUUGUUUGGGAUGAUACAAUAGUUUCUAAAAUGGUUCUAAAUGUACUUUUGCCAUUUUGUACUAAUUUAUAUGACGGGCACUCAGCAUUCAUGAUUCAACUCUGGACAACUUGGCUCUCUAUAUUUUGCAUUCUAAAAUAUUAAGCCAAGGUUUUUUUGAGACAAGGUAGCUCUGACCUAGAACUCAGUAUGUAGACCAGGCUGACCUUGAAUUCAGAGAUUCACCUGCCUUGGCCUCCUGAGUUGCUAGGAUUAAAGGCAAAUGCCACAUUCAGGUAAGAUUUGUAUGUAAAAUUAAGCCUCUCAUCUCAUUAGUUUGAAAAUUUGCUUUAACCUUUAAUAAAUAGUAAAAUUAUAUUUACUAAAGAAUUUUUAAAAUAGGUUUAUUUUUAAGAAUGUUUUAUCUUACAGUCGUCUUGUGUGGUGUGUGUAUAAAGAGAAGCCGUAUAGCCAGAAGCUGAUUCAUGCAGUGGGAAGAGUGGCCAAAUAAAAUUUUGCUUCUGUCAUGUUGAUACCUGGAGGUUCUGUUUUCUUCUGUUUAUAGGUCAGAGUAUAUAUAUAGAGAGAGUUAAGAUUAAAGAUCAGGGUUAGGAUUAGAGGAAUUUAAGGUAAGAGGAUUUUUACAGUUAAGGAUUAUGGUAAAUAAUGGUGGUAAGGCUAGAUGUUGGGUACAAGGAUUAGGGGUUAAAGUUCUAGAUUUACAUUUAGAUUUUGCAUUAGGGAUUAAUGAUUGGUAUAUGGUUAAGAGUAAUGUAAAGUGUGGUUGAAUAUGAGACACUGUGUUGUGUAUCAUUAGGGUUUGGGUUGGAAUUGGGUAUUGGUUGAGUUUGGGGUAGUGAUAAUAUUAACUGUGGUUAGAGUAGGAUUAAGGAUAGAAUUAGGGUAAUUUAGAGAAUAACAUUAGGAUUAGGGUCAGCAUUGGAAUGUUAGGUGAUUAGUGUUAGCAUUAGAGUAAGAGAUUAGGAUUAAAGGAUUAGGAUUGUGAAGCAGCAACACAUUCUGUCUUCCAAACAAGCCUUCUGUCUUAGGGUUUUAUUGUUGUGAAGAGACACCAUGACCAUGACAACUCUUUAAAAGGAAAACAUUUAAUUAGGGGUGGCUUAUGGUUCAGAGGAUUAGUCCUUUAUUGUCAUGGCAAGAAGCAUGGUGACAUGCAGGCAGACAUGGUGCUGGAGAGGUUCUGAGAGUUCUACAUCUAGAUCCACAGACAGCAGAAAGAGACAGACACUAGGCUUGCCUUGAGCUGCUAGACCUUAAAGCCUGACCCCAGUUACACAUUUCCUCCAACAACACUACAGCUACUCCAACAAGGCCACACCUCCCAGUAGUCCUAGUUCCUGUGAGCCUAUGGGGCCAUUUUCAUUCGAACUACCACACCUCCCUAUGUUUAGAGACUUCUAUAUGAAGAAGUGUGUUAGGUUGGAAAACAAUUCAUAUUAACUGGUAGGUUGUGAAGUGUGUUCUUUUCAGUACUCUAGAUGCUUUCAAUGAAUAAUGUUGCCUUGAAACUUAGUGUCUUAGAAGUAUAUUUUCCUUAGGACUUCUUAAGUCAGUAGCCAUGGUAGGAAGAGGUCUGGAUUAAGGGGGUGUUUCAGAGGCCUAAAACUGUUUUUGCUUCAUAUGAGAUGAAUCUCACUUACCGUGGCAGCAACACCUUGUGCUUUUAAAGCACAUUGUAUAGUGAUUUAAAAAAACCCAUCAGUCUGCCCAUAACAGUGAUCCAUUGUCCCAUCAUGUUCUUUUUCUGUCUCACUACAGUGUUUCUGUCCCACUAAAGUGUCUCUAUUCCCCUGUUCCCCUGUGUUCCAUCAUAAAACUCACCUGUUGUCACAAUAUUCUGUCAUAUAAUAUCCAUCAAGUUAACAUCACCAUGCUCUCAACUCUGCUGUCUUCCAUUGUUCUAUUAUAGUGCUUUAUAGUCCAAUCAUAGCGCUCCCCUAUCCAUCAGUGUCCAGUUUUUCUAUUCUGCACCAGUGUACCAGCUAAAGUGCUCAAUUGUUCUAUCAGUAUUCCACUGUUUCAGCACAAAUGUUCCUCUGCCUCAUCACCUGGUUCUUCUGCAUUAUCUCAAGGGUCCACUGUGCCUCUCGUCUAUACCAUUAUACCAGUACUCCUGGACAGUCCAUAAUUAUAACUGCCCAGUAACAGUGCUAUACUGUGACAUUAUAAUACUUAUCUUUUUGGGUUUUUUGUUUUUAAUCACUGUGCUCUUCUGUGCCAUCACAAUGUACUACUGUGAUAGCUCAGCACUACUCGUUGCAUCAGUCUCCAUUGUUCUAUAACAAUAUAUUGCUGCCCAUCAUGAGUGCUCUUCCAUCCUAUUUCCAUGUUUCAUUUUCUAUCACAGUGCACCACAAUACCCAUCACAAUAUCUCGCUUUGUUUCUCCCCUUGAAAUAUUUCUGAUAUGUAGUCCUAGCUGGCAUGGAAUUUGAUAUGUAGACCAAGCUGGCCUCAAACUCCCUGCCUCCUUAGUGCUAGUAUUAAAGGGGUGAGCCACCACAUCUGACCCACUGGUUUUUGGUCAGUUCACUCCUGUCCCAUUGUAAUGGUUCAUUGUCCCAUAGCAAUGUUCUACUGACCAACCACUCACAGGAUUUUUAUUUAUUGCCAUACAUUUAGAAGUCUUGUCACAAUGUGUCCUCUUCUACCCUAGUGCUCUCUGUCAUGUCAUAGUGCUGCACCAUCAUUACAGUCCUCCAUUGGCCUGUCAGUGUUUUACUGUUCAGAGUGAUUUUUUUUUAUUGCACUACUCAAUAAAUGUGCACCUACCCACGUCAGUUCCAGUUCUCAUCACAAUUCUCUAUUGUAUUGCAUUUCUCAGCUGUCAAGUCUCAAUAUUUCUUUGUCCUAUUAUGUCAGAAUUUCUCUCACCUUUGUACUCAUCACAGUGGUCCAGUGUCCUAUCACAAUGUUAAAUUGAUCUAAAUUAGUCUCUAAAGCUACUCAACAAUACUCAGGUUCUAUCCCAAUGUUUCUCUGCCCCAUAUUUUCUUUUGUCCCGUUGCAACGCUCAUGUGAUUCCUUAAAAUCUCUCGUCUCUAUCACAGCUCACCACUCAUUGUAUCCCAUUACAAUGUUCAUCAAUCCAGUCACAAUGUCCUCUUAUCCCAUUAUAGUGUUCUUAUGUUCCACCAAAUUGUUCCAGGAUCCCAUCUCAAUCCUGUAGCAGUAUUCCACUGCCUGAUCACAUUCCUCUACCUAUUAAAAUUCUCCACUGUACCUAUCAUAGUGCUCCACUUGCUAGGACAGUAUUCCAUUCUCCAGACGCAAUACUCCAUUCCAUCAUAAUACAGCACUGGUUUUCCUGGGUAGCAUGGUUACUUAGAAGCCUCAUCACUGAAGCUCAAGAAAAUACACAAACUCCUUUCCUACAAUAGGCAGGGACUGCAAAUAAACUUACUAAGCCUGAGAGAUCUCUGAAGGGAAGCAGGCAGACACACUGAGAACUGAUACUGGGUCUGCACGAAUCUUGAGUUGGUAACACUAAGCCCUGAGAGAGCAGUAGAAACUUCAUGGGAAGUGAUGCUCUGCAUACAUGGAACUUGCAGGACUGGAAGAGGUCAAAAUGGACUUUUCAGGGAUCUACCAGGAAAGAAUUUCCAAUGUUCCCUCACAUGCCAGAGUCACCUGGAACACAAGCUACAGAGCCCAUUUAUGCCUCCCCUCAUGGCACCAUGUGCAGCUAGCUAGGAAAAGAAAUAUCUGAAAACCACUUUUAACUCAGUGUGACUGUGUCAGCAAUCUCAUCCUAUAAAAAUUUUAAAAAUUUCUUAUGUAACCUCUACUCUAGCAUGUAUGCUCAUAGUAGUGCUUGUUCACACCCAAGGAUUUAAAGGACUCUCUAUGCUUCACCUACAUCCUAUCCCCUUUUAUUUGUAUGUCUUGUCUUAUCUCAUACUUCUCCUCUCCUCUUUUAUACAAAAACCCUAUGUUUGUGUUUUGUCUAUGUGUUUGUCUCUGUACCACAUUUCCAGAGACCAGAAGAGGGCAUCCUGUUCUCUAGAACAGGACUUACAGAUGGUGAUUAGUGGUUAUGUGGGUGUGGGGAACCAAUCUCAGGUCCUCUAGAGCCACUCCUACUGCCACCUUUGUACUUUGUUUAUAACCUUCCAGGGCUAUACUUCUGGUCUUCAUGGGCACCUGCUCUCUUGCAGUGCACACGAACUCACACAGGCAUACACACAUAAAAAUCUGUAUAACCUUUCUUAAUUAACUUACAUACUUAUUUAACUUAUACUUAAUUUACAAUAAUAUACUAAGUAUAUACUUAAUUAAAAUAACCGUGCUUAAUUAACUAUGUUAGCUUGUAACAGUAUCCCAAGUUUUCUUUCCCUGCUACUUUUCCCACUUCAUCACCAAUCCUGCUGCUCUCCCAUAUCUAAUCGUAGUUACCAAAAUGUAACGUGGGUUAACCCAGCCUACUGCAUUCCUAGGCAGGUGAUCCUGAACUGUCUAAUAAGCUAGCCAAGCAUGACAAGAGUGAGCCAGAGAACAAAGCAGCAAUCAGUAUCCCUCCAUGGUUUCUGUUUGAGUUCCUACCCUGACUACCUCAGUGAUGGAUUGUGAUCUAGAAGUGCAAGAUGAAAUAAAUCCUUUUCUUCGAAAGUUGUGUUUGGUCAGUGUUCCUGGAUCAGAAGAAUUACUAUUGUAACAAUGGCUAACAAUACGGACUCAAGAUAAUCGCAAUAAAAUUACAAAUGCCUCUUUGCAGAAAUAGAAAAAUAAUCCUAAAAUUAAUAUGGAAGCAUGUACGCACACACACACACACCAAACAAAACAAAACCACCACCACCACCAACAAAAAACUGAAUAGCCAAAGCAAUAUUGAACAUAAUAAUAAUACUGGAGGAUAUAGAUAUAGCUUGCCAGUUAAGAGCAACUCCAGUUCAUAGCACUCACUUGGUGACUUCUAGCCAACUGUAACACCAUUACAAGAGAAUGUGACACCUUUUUUCAGCCUCUAGGGGUACCAGGGACAUACACAUACAUACACAUACAUGAAUGCAAAUAAUCUUUUAAAAGGGAUGCUGUUUGAGAUAUUAUGUCUGGUUUUAAGUUAUACUACAGAGCUGUAGUGAUAAGUACAGCAUAAUAUUGGCACAAAAAAAAACCUAGAUACAUAGAUUCAUGAAAUAGAAUUGAGGACUCAUGUAUAAGCCAAUAAAACUACAACCACCUGUUCGAUUUUCUUUGUUUACAAGAAUGCCCAAAAUGUACAUUUGGGAAAACAGAAUCUUGAAUACAUGGUUGUGGAUCUGUGGAUUAGGUUGGGAUAAGGGAUAUAGUUAGGAGUUUGGGUUAGGGUUAUUGCACUCCAGAUUAGGACUAGGGUUAUGCUUAUAGUUCAUAUUAGGUGCAGUUGUCAUGCUCAGUGUUACUCUGUCUCAGGGUUUCACCCUGUGAAGAGACACCAUGACAAUGACAACUCUUAUACAGGAAAACAUUUUGUAACAAGGAACCAAACUGAAGCCAUUUUGCAUAAAACUUCCAUUUUCAAUAGGAGUCAGAGGUGGACAGGAGAUGUCUUGCCCUCUCACUGGUUUCCAAUGGGGAACACCUGGUAUAUACAAUGUGUCUAUAGUUUUGUUUAGUUUGAUUUUUAAUCUGUGAUUUAUAUUUGGAGAAAUGGGCCAGAGAUCAUCUGUUGGUCAUUCACCACAUCUCAAGGAUGUUCAGAAAAAAAUAGCUGAAUUGGGACAACAAAAAUCUCAUAAAUUGGCACUGCCCUUGGAACCCUGCACCUGCAGCUAGGAGCCGAUCACUGCUAGUGAAUCCCUGCCUCCUGCCUGACCUGUACAAGCCACUCUUAAAGGAGCUCCUCAGCUUUCUCCUGUAAGGAAGCUGGUGGCUACUCGUGCAACAACAUCUCUGUGACCAUGAGAAUUUAGUUCAGCAGGUAACAAGGUGCUGCUGCUCCCUUGGAAUUACAGCUGGAGGAAGUAAGGAAAAUUUUGUCUGUUUUAAAUGUACAAAUUUAUGUGGCACUACAUGUUUGUUUCUGUCUGGUCUUAAAUGUAUGAGUUUCUAAUGUUCUGUAUGUCUUGGUUAUAGACUCUUGGCUUGUGGUUAUGGUUAUAAUUGGCUCGCAUAAGGUUAAAAAUCGAUCACCUGUAACAAAAGUUAACUUAAAACUCAUAACUCAGGGUUAGAGCCAUUCUAGACAGCGGCAUAUGUCAGGAGCCAAUCAAGGAAACAGGUCUACAAAGUUACUUUUACAUUGGGAUAAGAUUUAUGUGUAAUUUCUGUCCUCUCUUGAAAACCAAAUGAGAAGGAGAGGGAGAGGGAAAAGAAGAAGAGAAAGAAAUAAAAGAAAAGAAAAGAAGAGGAGGAGGAAGACAAAAAAGAAGGAGAAGAUGAGGAAGAGGAGGAGGAGGAGGAAUUAAAGCUACACCUCCAUGCAACCAUAUGGAAGAACUCUCUUGCUGGCAGCCAAAUUUUGUAACAUAAAAGUAACCCACUUAGUACUGAUUUUAUAAACACUGUAUUUACACUGUUAAAACUUAGUUUUGCCUUCUAAAAGUUAUGGUUGUGCUCUGUCUGCCUUUACUCUUAAAAAUGGUAUUUUAUUUUGAUAUUGC
rnacentral:lncRNA from 1 species